rnacentral:rRNA from 1 species
AUGAAUUUGAAACACAUUAAAAGUCAAGCAAAACUGAACCGUAGACAUGCUAAAUGGGUUGAAUUCAUUGAGACUUUCCCUUAUGUCAUUAAACACAAGAAGGGUAAAGAAAAUGUUAUUGCUGAUGCAUUGUCUCGUUGUUAUACUAUGCUUUCACAACUUGACUUUAAAAUAUUUGGUUUGGAGACCAUCAAAGAUCAAUAUGUGCAUGAUGCUGAAUUUGAAGAUGUAUUGCAGAAUUGUAAAGAAGGUAGAACAUGGAACAAGUUCGUCGUUAAUGAUGGAUUUGUGUUUCGUGCUAACAAGCUAUGCAUUGCAGCUAGCUCCGUUCGUCUUUUGUUGUUGCAGGAGGCGCAUGGAGGAGGACUAAUGGGACACUUUGGCGUGAAGAAGACGGAGGAUAUACUUGCUACACAUUUCUUUUGGCCAAAGAUGAGACGGGAUGUUGAGUGUUUUGUUGCUCGCUGCACUACAUGUCAAAAAGCUAAGUCACGACUCAAUCCUCAUGGUAUAUAUAUGCCUUUGCCUGUACCUAGUGUUCCUUGGGAGGAUAUAUCUAUGGACUUUGUUUUAGGUUUACCUCGAACAAAGAAGGGGAGGGAUAGCAUAUUUGUUUUCGUGGAUAGAUUCUCAAAAAUGGCACACUUUAUACCAUGUCAUAAAAGCGAUGAUGCUGUUAAUGUUGCUGAUUUCUUCUUUCGUGAAAUUAUUCGCUUGCAUGGUGUGCCAAAUACUAUUGUUUCAGAUCGUGAUACUAAAUUUCUUAGCCACUUUUGGAGAUAUUUAUGGGCUAAGUUGGGGACUAAACUGCUUUUUUAG